rnacentral:tRNA from 1 species
GUCGCAGUGGUUUAGUGGUAAAAUUCGUGCUUGCCAUGCAAUAGUAUGUGCACGAGCCCCGUGUUCGAUUCACGGCUGCGACA